GUAAGGAAUAUUGGGCAAUGGAGGCAACUCUGACCCAGCCAUGCCGCGUGAAGGAUUGACGGCCCUCUGGGUUGUAAACUUCUUUUGUACGGGAAUAACCCUCCGAACGUGUUCGGAGCUGAAGGUACCGUAAGAAUAAGGAUCGGCUAACUCCGUGCCAGCAGCCGCGGUAAUACGGAGGAUCCAAGCGUUAUCCGGAUUUACUGGGUUUAAAGGGUGCGUAGGCGGAUUGAUAAGUCAGUGGUGAAAUCCUGCAGCUUAACUGCAGAACUGCCAUUGAUACUGCCAGUCAGGAGUAUGGUUGAGGUAGCUGGAAUGUGUCAUGUAGCGGUGAAAUGCUUAGAGAUGACACAGAACACCGACGGCGAAGGCAGGUUACCAACCCAUUACUGACGCUGAGGCACGAAAGCGUGGGGAUCAAACAGGAUUAGAAACCCCUGUAGUCC
rnacentral:rRNA from 1 species